AAAUUGUAAAGAGUCUUACUUUUCGCAGGCAGAGGCAAAGCGUGGAAGGGUAAGUGGUCUGGGUGAGCCGUGAGUGAUAUUUGUCCAGAGCAGAGAUUCAAGUGUUUCCAGGAAGCAGGGCAGGGAGGAAGGCAAGUGAGUAAAGCGGUGAAGCUGCUGAACAGACCAGCAACUGAACAGAGGUUAGUUAUGGCAGGAUGGAGAAUGGUGUCCGGAGAAUUACUGUGAGCAGAGAGGGUAAACAGGAGAUGAGACACCUGAGUCUCAUUAAGAUGAUCAGCAUUUAAGCCAGGAGGUGACUGCUAUUCAUCGCUGGAUCGUUGUCUACCACGCAGCUCCCUGGAUUUUCCCCCGUGUGAUUCCCGAGUGGCGAGUGUUGGAGUGAGAACCUGCGAUCGUGUGUGUGUGUAUUAUCUGAAGAACGCGUGCUUUUCCUCUGGACUUCCCUGGAGCCCCUUUUCCCCUCACUCAGCUGUUCAUAGCACUCCCCCCGCACCUUCUUGUAUAUACACCUGGUGAAUUGUAAAUAAAUCUUUCUUGUGUGCAUCUGAGCCCGGAGUCCUGCGCUUGAGUCCUCCUCUAAACCAUAACAGCUACUGCUGCUGAUCAAGGGCCUCAGAGGGCCAUAUGCCAGCAAGGGUUAGAAGUCAGACACCUUGGGCCUGCAGGUUGGAAGUUGGAAGUUAACAACGCCGCCUUGUAAAAGAU
ensembl:lncRNA